rnacentral:rRNA from 1 species
AUACGUAGGGAGCAAGCGUUGUCCGGAUUUACUGGGUGUAAAGGGCGCGCAGGCGGGUUGGUAAGUCAGAGGUGAAAUCCUACAGCUCAACUGUAGAACUGCCUUUGAUACUGCUGAUCUUGAGUAUGGAAGAGAGAGACGGAAUUCCAGGUGUAGUGGUGAAAUACGUAGAUAUCUGGAAGAACACCAGUUGCGAAGGCGGUCUCUUGGUCCAAUACUGACGCUGAGGCGCGAAAGCGUGGGUAGCAAACAGGAUUAGAUACCCCAGUAGUCC